UGAGAUUGAAUUACUUAAAAUAAUAAAGAUCUUGAGACAAGGUAAUCCAAGUAAUGAAAUAAAUAUCUUAAGAUCUUAAGCUAUGCAGAUUCAUUGAAUUUCAUGUUUAUUCUUCAUUUCAGGUUAUCUGCUGUUUAUUCCUCUGUGAAGCUGGCAGGUCUGAAUAAUCAGCUUUUAAAGUUUUUGACACAGUAAAGGUGCACAGAGUGCAGGCUCCUUCUGCAGAAAAUCCCAGCAAGCUGGCAGUGGGUAAGUAUUAAAAAAUAAACUACUGUGGAAACUUCUCCCA
rnacentral:lncRNA from 1 species